rnacentral:rRNA from 1 species
UCUUGCAAACUAAAGAUGGCGACCGGCGCACGGGUGAGUAACACGUAUCCAACCUGCCGAUAACUCGGGGAUGGCCUUUCGAAAGAAAGAUUAAUAUCCGAUGGUAUAUUAAAACCGCAUGGUUUUACUAUUAAAGAAUUUCGGUUAUCGAUGGGGAUGCGUUCCAUUAGUUUGUUGGCGGGGUAACGGCCCACCAAGACUACGAUGGAUAGGGGUUCUGAGAGGAAGGUCCCCCACAUUGGAACUGAGACACGGUCCAA